rnacentral:rRNA from 1 species
GAUGAACGCUAGCUAUAGGCUUAACACAUGCAAGUCGAGGGGAAACGGCAUUAUGUGCUUGCACAUUUUGGACGUCGACCGGCGCACGGGUGAGUAUCGCGAAUCCAACCUGCCCUUUACUUGGGGAUACCCCGUUGAAAGACGGCCUAAUACCCGAUGUAAUUCAUUGAUGGCAUCAGAUAUGAAUAAAAGAUUUAUCGGUAAAGGAUGGGGAUGCGUCUGAUUAGCUUGUUGGUGAGGUAACGGCUCACCAAGGCGACGAUCAGUAGGGGUUCUGAGAGGAAGGUCCCCCACAUUGGAACUGAGACACGGUCCAAACUCCUACGGGAGGCAGCAGUGAGGAAUAUUGGUCAAUGGGCGCAAGCCUGAACCAGCCAAGUAGCGUGCAGGAAGACGGCCCUAUGGGUUGUAAACUGCUUUUAUACGAGAAUAAUUUGAUGCACGUGUGCGUUAUUGCAUGUAUCGUAUGAAUAAGGACCGGCUAAUUCCGUG